rnacentral:rRNA from 14 species
CAGGGACAUUAUCAGGCGGGUAGUUUGACUGGGGCGGUCGCCUCCUAAAGAGUAACGGAGGCGCGCGAAGGUUCGCUCAGGCUGUUUGGAAAUCAGCCGUAGAGUGCAAAAGCACAAGCGAGCUUGACUGCGAGACAAACAAGUCGAGCAGGUGGGAAACCAGGCUUUAGUGAUCCGGUGGUUCCGCAUGGAAGGGCCAUCGCUCAACGGAUAAAAGGUACGC